GGAGGGGGCUAGCGUUGUUCGGAAUUACUGGGCGUAAAGCGUACGUAGGCGGCUUUGUAAGUUAGAGGUGAAAGCCCGGGGCUUAACCCCGGAAUUGCCUUUAAGACUGCAUCGCUUGAAUCAUGGAGAGGUGAGUGGAAUUCCGAGUGUAGAGGUGAAAUUCGUAGAUAUUCGGAAGAACACCAGUGGCGAAGGCGACUCACUGGACAUGUAUUGACGCUGAGGUACGAAAGCGUGGGGAGCAAACAGGAUUAGAUACCCUGGUAGUCCACGCCGUAAACGAUGAUGACUAGCUGUCGGGGCGCUUAGCGUUUCGGUGGCGCAGCUAACGCGUUAAGUCAUCCGCCUGGGGAGUACGGCCGCAAGGUUA
rnacentral:rRNA from 1 species